CCUACGGGAGGCAGCAGUGGGGAAUAUUGCACAAUGGGGGAAACCCUGAUGCAGCAACGCCGCGUGGGUGAAGGCGCGUUUCGGCGCGUAAAGCUCUGUCAACGGGGAAGAAGAAAGACGGUACCCGACCAAGAAGCCCCGGCUAACCACGCGCCAGCAGCCGCGGUAAUACGUAGGGGGCACGCGUUAUCCGGAAUUACUGGGGGUAAAGGGAGCGUAGGAGGGGAGGUAAGCCUGAAGGGUAAGCCCGCGGCCCAACCGCGGAAUGGCUUAGGGAACUGUUUUGCUGGAGUAUGGGAGGGGUAAGCGGAAUUCCUGGUGUAGCGGUGAAAUGCGUAGAUAUCAGGAGGAACACCGGUGGCGAAGGCGGCUUACUGGACCAUAACUGACGGUGAGGCUCGAAAGCGUGGGGAGCGAACAGGAUUAGAUACCCGAGUAGUC
rnacentral:rRNA from 1 species